rnacentral:rRNA from 1 species
AUACGGAGGGUGCAAGCGUUAUUCGGAAUCACUGGGCGUAAAGGACGCGUAGGCGGGUUGGCAAGUCAGAUGUGAAAUCCUACAGCUUAACUGUAGAACUGCAUUUGAAACUGCUAACCUAGAGUAUGGGAGGGGGAGAUGGAAUUAGUGGUGUAGGGGUAAAAUUCGUAGAUAUCACUAGGAAUACCGAAAGCGAAGGCGAUCUCCUGGAACAUAACUGACGCUAAGGCGUGAAAGCGUGGGGAGCAAACAGGAUUAGAUACCCUUGUAGUCC